ACUGCUCAGUAACACGUGGAUAACCUGCCCUUAGGUCUGGCAUAACCCCGGGAAACUGGGGAUAAUUCCGGAUAGAUUAUAGACGCUGGAAUGCCCUGUAAUCCAAAGCUUUUGUGCCUAAGGAUGGGUCUGCGGUCUAUCAGGUUGUAGUGGGUGUAAUGUACCUACUAGCCUACGACGGAUACGGGUUGUGGGAGCAAGAGCCCGGAGAUGGAUUCUGAGACAUGAAUCCAGGCCCUACGGGGCGCAGCAGGCGCGAAAACUUUACAAUGCGGGAAACCGCGAUAAGGGGACACCGAGUGCCAGCAUCCUAUGUUGGCUGUCCAUAUGUAUAAAUCACAUGUGUUAGCAAGGGCCGGGCAAGACCGGUGCCAGCAGCCGCGGUAAUACGAU
rnacentral:rRNA from 1 species